CAGGCAGAGCUAUCUGGAAUAUGGAGUCAGAUCUGACUAGAGCUGAAGGAUGAGCGAACCAUGACUUAGAGAGGAGUGAUCUGUCUACUCUGCAUAGAGGUGAGGCAACAUGAAAACAACUAAGUCCAAAUGAGAUGUAUACAAGAUAAAUCUGAGGUCAUCAAUGAAGGGAACCAGCAUUAAGGGGAAUCAGGAAAGACUUCUCGUAGAAGAUUGGAUUUGAGCAGGAGCUUGAAGAAAGCCAAGGAAGCUAUCUAUUAAUUGGCUCUGGUUUUCCUUCAUAGUCACAAUCACAUGGUACAUCUUAUGGCUCUUUCCACAUUUUUUAAGGCUUUCUCACAUAUAUCAUCUAUCAUGCCAGUGUUUCCACUUGGCCACCCUGAGAGUCCAAUGAAGAUGAAUGGUAGUUAGAUUUUUUUUCUCUUUUCUUUCAGAAUUUUCAAUAGAUACUAACUAGGCUUGUUUUCCAUUCAUGUUCAUUGUUUGGCAAAUGCCUAUUUAGAGUACCUGGCAGGACAAUUAAUGUCCUCCUUUUGAUGAACUUGAUAGAAUAUCCCACACUAAGAAUUAUUCAACAAAUAUUAACAGGAGAUGAAUUGAUUUUAAGUGGCUACCUAAAAAGGUUGUGUGUGUGUGUGUGUGAACUAUGUCCUCUAUGUAACUGGCUACGUUGGUUGUUCUAUCUAAUAUAUUUUUUCAACUGAAGUCAGACCAAAUCUUUGCUAGUGAGCUGUGAAUUUUACCUUGACUUUAAAUCAAGGGCAAAGUGACAAGGAAAACAUGUCUCAAGAAAUUUAAUUGUAUUUUCCUUUUUUGGAUGUUUUUACAAAAUGUCUCUCUCCCAACCUUUGCCACCACCAAUUUCUCUCAUCAAUGAACAGAGGACCAAUAAUCAAUGUGAGUUCAGUAAUGGGUUGUGAAUUGUAUGUCUUUCAAGUUUACUCUGCUAUUGCCUUUCGCUCAAUAUUUUAUCAUUAACCAUUUAUUACAAGUUUAUCAUUAUGAACCAUA